rnacentral:tRNA from 1 species
GCCUCCUUAGCUCAGCCGGCCAGAGCAGCCGCCUUGUAAGCGGCAGGUCGUCGGUUCGAUUCCGACAGGAGGCUCUA